rnacentral:rRNA from 1 species
UACGUAGGUGGCAAGCGUUGUCCGGAUUUACUGGGCGUAAAGAGCGCGCAGGCGGUCGUACAAGUCGCGUGUGAAAGCCCCCGGCUCAACUGGGGAGGGUCACGCGAUACUGUUCGACUCGAAGGCAGGAGAGGGAAGUGGAAUUCCCGGUGUAGUGGUGAAAUGCGUAGAUAUCAGGAGGAACACCGGUGGCGAAGGCGGGUCUCUGGGCCGUAACUGACGCUGAGGAGCGAAAGCGUGGGGAGCGAACAGG